GGCCUCCUUCUAAACUCCGCCCUUCACGGAAAAAAAUGCCAACAACUCGCAAUCGAAAAGAAUGGCAGUGAAAGCAAAGAAACAGACAUCGAAAGCAAAUAUACGAGUAGCGUAACCAAAAGCAGACAUAGCAGACAUGUCCACCCAGGAAGGAGAAGUUGGGAGUGUAGGAGGUGUUCCAAACCGUACCUGGACUCUAAGGUACACCCAGCUCCUAUCUGCAUAGCGACCACCUGACUACCAGCACAAUGUCUACAUCCCUGGCAUGCUGUCUGGCUACUGUACACUGAAGCCUGUGCCCAGAGGAGAACUGAACUAAUUUUCUACAUUUGGAAAGAAGAAGAGGUCCGUCUCUAGCUAUGACCCAAGCUUGAGCAGAGAGAGGACAAUCUGAUCAACAGUGACUUUUCUAAAUGAAUAUAGUGGGACAGACUGUGCAUACAAUUCAAGGUACAGAAGGAAUGUCUACCAAUGGCAUGUCUAUAUUUUUGACUUUACUAAUGGUAAGUAAAUGUUUUUUUUUUAAAUGUGGGAGUAAUGAUUAGUAAAUGGUGAACUCAAUUUAUUAAUGCCUUAUAAGUGGUUUUUACGACGGACCCUUAAAAUAAAGUGUUGCCAAUUUGGAUCAUAUUUGGUUGAAAUGUUUCUCAAUGCGA